CGGAACGUGUCCUGUAGUGGGGGAUAGCCCGGCGAAAGCCGGAUUAAUACCGCAUACGCUCUACGGAGGAAAGGGGGGGAUCUUAGGACCUCCCGCUACAGGGGCGGCCGAUGGCAGAUUAGCUAGUUGGUGGGGUAAAGGCCUACCAAGGCGACGAUCUGUAGCUGGUCUGAGAGGACGACCAGCCACACUGGGACUGAGACACGGCCCAGACUCCUACGGGAGGCAGCAGUGGGGAAUUUUGGACAAUGGGGGCAACCCUGAUCCAGCAAUGCCGCGUGUGUGAAGAAGGCCUUCGGGUUGUAAAGCACUUUUGUCCGGAAAGAAAACGCCGUGGUUAAUACCCGUGGCGGAUGACGGUACCGGAAGAAUAAGCACCGGCUAACUACGUGCCAGCAGCCGCGGUAAUACGUAGGGUGCAAGCGUUAAUCGGAAUUACUGGGCGUAAAGCGUGCGCAGGCGGUCCGCUAAGACAGAUGUGAAAUCCCCGGGCUUAACCU
rnacentral:rRNA from 1 species